GACGAACGCUGGCGGCGUGCUUAACACAUGCAAGUCGAACGAAGAGCGAUGGAAGCUUGCUUCUAUCAAUCUUAGUGGCGAACGGGUGAGUAACGCGUAAUCAACCUGCCCUUCAGAGGGGGACAACAGUUGGAAACGACUGCUAAUACCGCAUACGAUCUAAUCUCGGCAUCGAGGAUAGAUGAAAGGUGGCCUCUACAUGUAAGCUAUCACUGAAGGAGGGGAUUGCGUCUGAUUAGCUAGUUGGAGGGGUAACGGCCCACCAAGGCGAUGAUCAGUAGCCGGUCUGAGAGGAUGAACGGCCACAUUGGGACUGAGACACGGCCCAGACUCCUACGGGAGGCAGCAGUGGGGAAUCUUCCGCAAUGGACGAAAGUCUGACGGAGCAACGCCGCGUGAGUGAUGACGGCCGUCGGGUUGUAAAGCUCUGUUAAUCGGGACGAAAGGCCUUCUUGCGAAUAGUGAGAAGGAUUGACGGUACCGGAAUAAAAAGCCACGGCUAACUACGUG
rnacentral:rRNA from 1 species